rnacentral:rRNA from 1 species
GACGAACGCUGGCGGCGUGCUUAACACAUGCAAGUCGAACGGAAAGGCCUUGUCUGAGGUUCGCGAGUGGCGCACGGGUGAGUAACACGUGGGGGAUCUUCCCUGCACGCUGGGAUAAGCCUGGGGAACUGGGUCUAAUACCGGAUAGGACCGCACGUGAGUGUGUGGGGGGGAAAGUUUUUUCGGUGUAGGAUGAGCCCGCGGCCUAGCAGCUUGCGGGGGUGGUAAUGGCGUACCAAGGCGGCGACGUGUAGCCGGACUGAGAGGUUGUGCGGCCGCACUGGGACUGAGGGGAGGCAGCGACGCCUAAGGGAGGAAGAUGGGGGGAAGAUUGAACCAGGGGCGCCAGCCGGAUGCAGAGAGGCCGCGGGGGGGAUAGCGGCCUUAGGGUUGAAAAAUCGUUUUACGAGGGAAGAAGCGUUUUGUGACGGUACCUGGAGAAGAAGCACCGGCUAACUACGUG